ACGGAGAGUCCGGCGUAGGGACAAGUAAAACCUCCGUUUUCAUUUGCGUCAUAGGUUUGUGUACUCUCGUUCAUUUGAGGGCCAACUGGCCUCAUACAGAUAACUGAAAACACACUACAGAAAUCAGCGAGAACAUACUGAGAAAAAAAGCUGUCUUCUAAAUUCACGAUGCGAGGACUUCAUUUCGUCUUUUUGCUAAUCGCAGCGUGAAUAAUCUAAACCAUAGAAUAUCUUAAAAUUAAGGUAUAAUGUGAGAGAUCCCCCGGCCUAGUUAUUUACUUAUCACGUCGUGUCUUAUCAAGUUUAGUUUUAAAUUUCCAUUCGAUUUCAUAACAAUUUAAUAAUGUAUCUUUUGUGAAAAGGGAAAGCGGUUGGGUCGGACGAAUAGGUCAAAUUACCCUCUUAUUUGGGCCAACCUGCAAUCUGUUGGUCAAAUUAUUGUCUGUUUGAGGGGGUGCUGCUUCAGUAUUUAAAUCCGUUAUACAUUCAUUCAUAGAGCUCCAAUCGUCCAUCACACUCAGGACAGUGCCUACCAACAGCGGUGAUAGCUUAAUCACUGACCCAUAACCAUUCGGGCUCAGUAGGCUAUCGCUUGAAUGAUAUUACAAGCUUUAUGCGUCUGUCUCGUCCUCAUAUUACAGCGUAGAACCGUGGCCAUGUUUAACUAUAUCAUUAGACGAAGAAUCCAGCGAAACUGUUGGGAAAGACAACCGUUUGGAUAUAAUAAAGUCGGCUAAGAAGAUAGGACGAAUUGAUAAAUCCUUCGGAUUUGCCUCAGAGUUCUACAAUGCCUCAUAAAAAGACACCCCGGAUCAUGCUGGACUUGUUCAACGCAGUGGAACAGUGGAAUGCCGGGAACCAGGAAAAAUUAGAGGGCAAUGUGGUGCGGAGCUUCGAGGACAGAGGCAAAAACAACGACUUUUCCUUGGGAAGUCAUAUGGACCCCAUUUCUACAAGGUAGACCUCUAUGAGGUGUUAGACAGCAGAGCGAAACUUUGGAGAUGGAAUCUAAUCACGUCAAGACUGUUACCCUUAUACACUCAGGGUUGGAAAGUAUUCAACGUCACACAAACGGUGUCCAAGUGGAUUUGCAGGAUUCGCAACAGCGAGGAGAAUAAUGGAAUUCAGCCAGGCCACAACACCUGACAGUCCGAAGGUAGCACCAAGUUAUCCCCGCAGCCGCCCCAUGUCAUGCCAGCGGAUCCCCCUCUUUGUGGACUUCGAGGUAAUCGGCUGGGCUGGCUGGAUCGUUUCUCCACGGGGUUACAAUGCUUACUACUGCAAGAGCUCCUGUCCGUUUCCACUCGGAAAGAGUUUCCGUGCCACGAAUCACGCGACUGUGCAGUCUGUCAUGCACGCUCCAAAGCUCUCCAAUGAGGAGGAAAACGUGGUUCUGAAACAGUAUGACGAUAUGGUUUCGUUUUGAACAGCUUUCAGAAAUCUUGGUUGAAUUGAAAAUAUUAACAGUAUGUCCAGUGAUUCAUGUAUAAAUGUAUGUUUUUGUAAGAAAUAAAAGUUGGUUGUUGCAAUUGAA